GGUUAAGCGACUAAGCGUACACGGUGGAUGCCCUGGCAGUCAGAGGCGAUGAAGGACGUGCUAAUCUGCGAAAAGCGCCGGCGAGGUGAUAUGAACCUUUGACCCGGCGAUGUCCCAAUGGGGAAACCCACUUCAAUCAGUUGAACAAUCGUUAAAUGAAUACAAAGUUUAACGAGGCGAACCGGGGGAACUGAAACAUCUAAGUAACCCGAGCAAAA
rnacentral:rRNA from 1 species